ensembl:lncRNA
AUUCACAAAAAUUAGAUGAGAAGAAUGCCUAUGAUCUUCAAAUCUGAGUUCAUCUAUAUGUGGACCAUGGACAGAUUUAUGAAUUUUCAGACAAAGAAAAACUCUGUGAGAGCGCAUGCUGUACUUCUGAUUCCAGCAAAUGUGCACAGCUGCCAUGGCCAUUCUUUCAGCAGGAAGCCCACCCUCGGUAUCACAAUAGCACUCCAUGCUGAUGAUCACCAGAGUCCAGUGUUCAAUUUAGAGGCAAUGUCAAAACGAGCAACAAUCGAAGAGAAACCAGCCUGGAUUGAUUUAAAGAACGGGUUGCCUGGCUGGUCCGAAAGCUGUGGAAAACCUGAGACAGCAAACGCCAAGAUAAGAGGAGGAUAGUGCCAGAGAGGCACUCUGAAGGGAGCUGGAAGCCAAACCAUUUUACUCAUUUCAAAUUUCAAUACAGAAUAUGAAGAUCAAAGAAAAGGUAGGAAAAAGUCGUUGCCUGGACAACACAGAAGUAAGUGAAGUCCUGCAACUAAUUCAGAAAUCUCUCCGGACAACAUCAUACCACCCCAUCCAUGGAACGCAGCCAUGGAGACAGAUGCUGGUGUUGACUAAGUACAUUUAUUCUGAAGAGUGAUAUCCAUCUUCUGCCAAGCAUAAGAGAUGUGUGACUACAUCUGUUCACUCCACUAAGGGAGCAAACAGACAUAGGACAGAAGAAAGGGCUGCCAUAAAGUAAAAUGUUAAUUAGUGCACAGAGUCCCAUUUGAAUCAUUAGGAAGUCUGUAUUUCACCAGCCUUUAGGAUUAGCCUAUAGUAAGCCCCACUGAAAGGGAUGAGAGCUGUGCACUCAGUGUCAAUGAGGGAAAAAUGAGAUCAAGGAUAAGUACUCAAAUUUGACCAUUAUGCACAGACCCUUAAAUAGCUAACAACCAGCCACUAUCCACAUACAUGACACACACACACGCUUAUUUUUGUUUGUGAAUCAGUGCACAUACACCUUUUUCUUCCUCCAAGUCUAACUCUUCUUACAAAACAACUAGAAUAUAUAUAUAAAACAUUCUUAUGUUAUCCUUUUUUUUCUACCUUUGUUAACCACAAUGAUCAGAAGAAUACGAACAUAAUCAACUGUGGUCUGGGAAUAAUGAAUAUAUCCUCUAAUGGUACAUUUCAUGUGAAAUGUUGAGUUGAUUUUGAGUAGUGUCAUUAAAUAACAUGAAACCUCAAGAGUUCAUUCAGAGGUCUGAGGCAGAUGAAGCUCAUUUAUGAGCACAUCCCUCAUUUUGCAGCUUAGGAAUAGACUUUACAACACUGCCUUUGCUUAGAUUUUAAGAAUCUUCAGUGCAUCCAGAACAACUGUCAAAUAGGGUAGCUAAGAAGAGAAUAACCAUUUGCGCAUUUGCACUUUUAUAUAGGUAAAUGCAUUUUUCUAUUAAAAACAACUUGGUGCCACUUAUGCGUGUAUGUAUACAAUGCACACACAUACAAUUUUCCCAGCGUCCCAGAUUAGCUGGGGUAAUAUGACUCCUUCCUAACAACGCUCUGUGUUAUGUUUUCAUCUCCUUACCGAGUCCUGAUGCUCUAUGUGAAGGUAAACAGAAAACUGCUGACAUCUCAAAUAUUUUUCAAAAAUAGCUUAAAAUGCUUAAUCCCCACCAAAUGCUGAAAACUCCUUAAAACUGCAUUCCAAAACAAUACAGUACGACAUUUAUAUUGAUAGCUAACUUCUUUUCAGACUUCGGCUGCAGACGUUCUGCCCUUUCACGAGUUUUUGGAACCUAUCUGUGUAUCUUUGACUCAGUAAUCCACCUCCCAGAGAUGUUGCAGUAAAUUAUGCAUUCACCUUGAUGUACAUACAGUACAGAUAAACACCAUAUUUUAAGUUUUCCUGCUGUUUACUAGCUGACAACCGAUGAGUUAUAAAGUGAAAUUGGUCAUUUCUAUGUAAGUUUUAUGGGUAGGCAGAAGUAAAAGUCUCUGAAGGCAGAGAAUUUUCUGGCUAAGAUAAAGCAUAGAUUUGCUUUCAGCAGCUUAGAGCUGAUGGGUUUUGUAGGACAGCCAACUCAUUCUGAACGCUGUCAUCCAUAGCUCCUGGCAGAAGUGUGCUAUAGGAUAUCAGGUAUGAUUAUCCACAGAAUUCAAAACAGGGACACUGAUGCACAUGGGUCCAAGACAGUAAAUUAGUAAUAACCUCAAUUAUUAUAUGUCCAAACUAAAAGUAAGAAUACAUUUUCUGCCAGAAGGGAACUGAGUAAAUGUAGCACCUUAAGUUUGUUCUGACAAAUUAAUGUUUUAAUGGCAGUUUCUGUACAUUUUGUCUUCACUGCAUGAACUGCCAGUUACCUAUAAAGUCUUCUCUUCGAUAUUUUAUGGCUCUUAUGCAAAUAUGUGAUGUUACUAGCUUUUUUCUUUGUUUGCUUUGUAUAGUUUUGCUGAGUUGCAUUAUGUAGUCAUUAAAAAUGAAUAGCCAAAAUAAAAAUAUUUC